rnacentral:rRNA from 1 species
CCCUUAGAUGUUCUGGGCUGCACGCGUGCUACACUGAUUACUUCAACAAGUGUUUUAACUGGAGAGUUUGCGUAAUCCUGAAAUGUUAUCGUGAUGGGAGUAGAGUAUUGUAUUUGUUAAUCUUUAACGAGGAAUUCCUAGUAAGUGUAGGUUUAUAAGUUGUUCUGAUUACGUCCCUGCCCUUUGUACACACCGCCCGUCGCUCCUACCGAUUGAUUGAUCCGGUGAAUUACAUAGAAUUUUGCGUUUUACAUGACGGAAGAUGAAGUGUUUUAAACCUUAUCAUUUAGGGGAAGGAGAAGUCGUAACA